UCGAACGAGGUUACUUAUUUAAGCUUGCUUAAGUAAUUAACCUAGUGGCAAACGGGUGAGUAACACGUGGGAAUCUACCCAUCAGUACGGAACAACCCUUGGAAACAAGAGCUAAUACCGUAUAUUCUCUUCGGAGGAAAGAUUUAUCGCUGAUGGAUGAGCCCGCGUCAGAUUAGCUUGUUGGUGAGGUAAUGGCUCACCAAGGCUUUGAUCUGUAGCUGGUUUGAGAGAAUGAUCAGCCACACUGGAACUGAGACACGGUCCAGACUCC
rnacentral:rRNA from 1 species